AUUGAACGCUGGCGGCAUGCCUUACACAUGCAAGUCGAACGGUAACAGAUCUUCGGAUGCUGACGAGUGGCGAACGGGUGAGUAAUACAUCGGAACGAGCCUAGUAGUGGGGGAUAACUACUCGAAAGAGUGGCUAAUACCGCAUGAGAUCUACGGAUGAAAGCAGGGGAUCGCAAGACCUUGUGCUACUAGAGCGGCCGAUGGCAGAUUAGGUAGUUGGUGGGAUAAAAGCUUACCAAGCUGACGAUCUGUAGCUGGUCUGAGAGGACAAUCAGCCACACUGGGACUGAGACACGGCCCAGACUCCUACGGGAGGCAGCAGUGGGGAAUUUUGGACAAUGGGCGCAAGCCUGAUCCAGCAAUGCCGCGUGCAGGAUGAAGGCCUUCGGGUUGUAAACUGCUUUUGUACGGAACGAAAAGCCCUGGGUUAAUACCCUGGGGUCAUGACGGUACCGUAAGAAUAAGCACCGGCUAACUACGUGCCAGCCGCCGCCGUAACAC
rnacentral:rRNA from 1 species